GUCAAAAGUUUGGACACACCUUCUCAUUCAAUGCUUUUUAUUUAUUUGUAUUAUUUUCUGCAUUCUAUAUUAAUACUGAAGAUUAACAUUUUUUUGUUUACAACAUAAUUCCGUAUGUAGCACUCAUAAAUUGCACUACACAGUAACUGGCAGUAUUUAUAGGGUUAAUUAGGUGCAGUUUUCUCUUUGUGCCAGCAGAGUGCGCAGUAGUGCUGCACAUUUCUUUUUCUACUUUUUUUUACGGCAGAGACUAGAGCAAGACGUAUAUUUUCAUCAGAUCGUGUGGAGCGGUAACUUCCCUAAAAGUUUAGUUCCAGGUAGUUUUCCUUGGAGUUUUUGCACUAUGGAGUCUUUUACCGCUGAGAAAGCAGAGAUAAACCGCUGAGUGAUAUCUUUCUUACUGUUCCCGUCGGAUUAAGCUCCGGUUGGUUUUUUUGGAGACUGUUUAAAGUGGAUGCUGAACAGCGAGCCAGAUUCUAGCUUCAUAAAGCGAGGAGUGGAUCAGCGUGGAGGGUGUGAGAACUCGACUCUGCUUUACAGUGCGGGAAAAGGAAAAGGAUACACUCGUCUCUUCUGAAAUCCAGCUAAGACAUUCUGAACAAAAUCAUACUACCCGGGUAGAUGAACUGAACUAAACUGAAUACACACACACACACACACCACACAUUGUCACAGUGUCCAUUUUUUAAUUUAUUUUUUUGUCUAUUGUUUUCCAAGUGCACUUGAUAGCAAAUUGUUAUGUUUACAGGUACUGUUCUGUUGGGAUUAAGUACAGAGUUAAACGGUUAUUUAUCGGAUCGUUUUGAUGGUUUGGUGAUCAGUACAAUUUAAGGUUUAUCAUUUUGAAAAUAAAUGUCAAAUGAAAGCUGUUUAACAAAAAAUAUUGUCCUUGUCCAACUAUCCUUCUUGAGCGAACCUAACGUUACCAUUGCCAGAGAUAAAGCCCAUAUACAUACACUAAGUUGUAUUAUUUUGUGAGAUCAAGUUUCUUAAUGUAGUAGUUCAUACUCACCCUUUUGCUACAUUGAUUCUACUAUGUGUCACACAUAUGUAUUCUUUGAUAGUGUUGAUGUCUUCAGUGUUAAUCUACCGUGUAGAAAAUAUGUAAAUAAAAACCAUUGAAUGAG
ensembl:lncRNA